GGUUACGAAUUUGGAUAUGCUAAUCAGAAGUUUAUAGUUGGCAAAUACAACGUUCCUGAUUUAAAUAAGGGUUUACGAGGAAUGUGUACAGGCGAACUAAGGCGUAUAGGUAUAUUUAUUAACAACUUAGGUAAAAUAUAUUAUGAAGUAACAUUGAAAAAUUAUAAAAAGAAAAGCCCGAGAAGCGAAGAUCUUU